rnacentral:rRNA from 1 species
AUUGAACGCUGGCGGCAUGCUUUACACAUGCAAGUCGAACGGCAGCGCGGGCUUCGGCCUGGCGGCGAGUGGCGAACGGGUGAGUAAUGCAUCGGAACGUGCCCAGUAGUGGGGGAUAGCCCGGCGAAAGCCGGAUUAAUACCGCAUACGACCUGCGGGUGAAAGCGGGGGACCGAAAGGCCUCGCGCUAUUGGAGCGGCCGAUGUCGGAUUAGCUAGUUGGUGGGGUAAAGGCUUACCAAGGCGACGAUCCGUAGCUGGUCUGAGAGGACGACCAGCCACACGGGGACUGGGACACGGCCAAGACUCCUACGGGAGGCAGCAGUGGGGAAUUUUGGACAAUGGGGGCAACCCUGAUCCAGCCAUGCCGCGUGCGGGAAGAAGGCCUUCGGGUUGUAAACCGCUUUUGUUCGGGAAGAAAUCCUCUGGGCUAAUACCCCGGGGGGAUGACGGUACCGGAAGAAUAAGCACCGGCUAACUACGUG